rnacentral:tRNA from 1 species
AGGGGAGUAGCUCAGUGGUAGAGCACUUGCUUAGCCUGCGUGAGGCCCUGGGUUUAAUGCCCAGCUCUGCAA